UAGCCUUGCGCAAUCCCUGCACCUGCCCUACGAGCACACGCCCCUGCUGCGCCGUCGCUUGCCCCUUCGCAUCGCCGCUCGCCUCGUCCAGGACGUCAAGCCCUUGGCGCACCUAGCCCCUUGGUCUACUGCACCCGAGCACCCUGCUCGCCGGUGCCCUCCUGCUCACGUUGCAUGUGCCUGCGCGUCGCCACCCCUGAGCCCUCCUCGUCGAACCUGAAGAUCGCCGCCGCCGGAUGUCGCGGUUGCCCGAUUCGUCGUGUCCACCGCGCGAUUGACAAGAUGGACAGCACCACGGCGGUCCCCUCGACAAAGAUGACUCCGUUUCACCGGCGCCGGUUGCCGUCAUCCGCCCGAGCGCCGCCGUCCGCGGAGCAGCCCCCAGCAGACCGCCGCCGGCCGGUUUCUGGUUACCCAUGUUCCCCAUCGCCGCAGGUGCAACUAUGCAAGUGCGUGCAUUUGGCUGCAACAUGAAGUGGCUGAAAGACAGCUGGUUGAAGGGAAGAUCUACGCCUUGUCGGAUUUCACAGUACGCCCAAGAGAGCAUUAGUACAUGGCCUGUAGAAAUGACUUGAUGAUUUACAUGGAUGGGAGGACAGUGAUAGACGAGAUAGAUAACAAGACUGGUUCUCCAAUACCUCUCCAUAGCUUUGAAUGCAAUUGGCCAGAUAGUAUCCAUUGAAGGCGUGGGGGAGGCUUGGAAGUGGAAAAUUUGGAGCAACAUACCUUUCCGUAACAUAUGUUCACGCGAUUUAAGGGGAAGGGAAUUGAAUGUUGCAAUCUUCGGAGACCUUGGUUGAAAUUUCGAUGCAGAGCAGGUUUUCAAGCAAGGUCGAAAAGCCCCAAUUGUUCCUGUUUUUGCAGGGGUGCUCGUUUGACAAUACAAUGUUUGACGGAUCCACAUAAAUCCUGUAAAUCCAUCUGACUUAAAGUGAGUAGCAUGGGAAGGGGCUCCGACCA